GGGGAAUAUUGGACAAUGGGCGCAAGCCUGAUCCAGCCAUGCCGCGUGAGUGAUGAAGGCCUUAGGGUUGUAAAGCUCUUUCGCCGGUGAAGAUAAUGACGGUAACCGGUAAAGAAGCCCCGGCUAACUUCGUGCCAGCAGCCGCGGUAAUACGAAGGGGGCUAGCGUUGUUCGGAAUUACUGGGCGUAAAGCGCACGUAGGCUGACUUUUAAGUCAGGGGUGAAAUCCCGGGGCUCAACCUCGGAACUGCCUUUGAUACUGGAAGUCUUGAGUCCGAGAGAGGUGAGUGGAACUCCGAGUGUAGAGGUGAAAUUCGUAGAUAUUCGGAAGAACACCAGUGGCGAAGGCGGCUCACUGGCUCGGUACUGACGCUGAGGUGCGAAAGCGUGGGGAGCAAAC
rnacentral:rRNA from 1 species